UACGUAGGGUGCGAGCGUUGUCCGGAUUUAUUGGGCGUAAAGAGCGUGUAGGCGGCCAGACAGGUCCGUUGUGAAACUCGAGGCUCAACCUCGAGAUGUCGAUGGAAACCGUCUGGCUAGAGUCCGGAAGAGGAGUGUGGAAUUCCUGGUGUAGCGGUGAAAUGCGCAGAUAUCAGGAAGAACACCUAUGGCGAAGGCAGCACUCUGGGACGGUACUGACGCUGAGACGCGAAAGCGUGGGAGCGAACAGGAUUAGAA
rnacentral:rRNA from 1 species